UGGCUCACUGCACGCAAGAGAGCAGAGCUCAGGGAGGGCGCCUCGGGCUCUCACCCCCCAAAUUUGGGCCCCGUAUCCAUCCUACGGGCUCCUGGGCUCCGCACAUCCCUCCCAACCCCCGUUUCCUUCGCGCAGACAUCGCCGCCAAGCAGCCCAAGGGCAGAGAGGAGCAGCAGGAGGAUCAGAUAACCCCAGCUGCCCCAAGGACGGCUAUUUUGGGACGGCCGCCGCUCCGUGCUGCCCCACGGGGAAGGGAGAUGUCAGCUUGCCCAGCCUGGAGGUCGGACGCAACCUCCAUCCCAUGCUGGAUGUGGGGCUCUGUGGAACGUUGUCUUACAUCUCAGCACUCGUAUUUAGGGCUCAACCUCAAGGCUGCCCUAACGACAGAGGGAAAUGUUUUCUUCUGCUGAUGUUGUAAAUUCCACAAAGCCGUCGCAGGAAGGGACAGAAAGGGCCGAGCAGGGCAGGGGGACGAGGGCGCCGAGCUUCCCAGGCUGGUGUCGAGCUGACGGCUCUGUGGUUGGACACAGGCUGGAAAGCGCGUGAAUCCCACAGCAGCUUCGGAACACACGAGAACUUCAAUACUGCAAAGACACCAAAUCUGGAUGGAAAACCAUUGCCAGGGUUCAAGGCUCCGUCCCUGGGUUGCUGAUGCUCCUACAUCACAGUGAUGGAACUCCGCUCCUCUGCACUCGCUGGGGUUUUCAGCUGCUGAAGGGCCUCUGCUUCCCACCUCCAUCCUCGUGGGCCUUUAUUGGUGCCGCCGCUCGUCCUCCCUCCAUCUGCAGCCAGUUUGGCUCCAGCUCACUCGAGCGCAGUCCUCAGGAGGUUCUCCAGCCCCAACCCUGGGGAUACGGCCUGGGACAGCAGCAGUGCUGCUCCUCUGGGCAGGGUGAUGGCAGUCGGCUUGUUUUAAUUUGUUCAUUAAGGGAUUAGGCCGCUCCAAGCCGCUGUUAUCCAAACUCAAAGCACUCCGACUCCCAUCGAGGACGGGGCGCAGCGCCCACACAGCAGACUACAGACCCAGCCUUUCAAUUAACGCAAUUACCAUCACCUGCCACAGCGCCGGCCUCAUUAAGGAAUUAACCUGGGGAGGGGAUCGACUGCAGCACGAGGGCGCGGGGUCACCGCCAUCCCCGUGACGACACCAGGGGUCACCGCCACGCUUUGCCCCCGGGGAGCAACAGCAGAGCCCCGCUGCUCCUCCCCUGCACCCCAACCUCGGGACCCCUGUCCUGAGCACCGGAUCCCCCUUUGGAUUUCCAUAGGCUGCCCCGGG